rnacentral:misc_RNA from 1 species
CGACCUGCGGUGAAUCAUGA